UACAGAGGUGGCAAGCGUUGUUCGGAAUUACUGGGCGUAAAGGGCGCGUAGGCGGCCAUCUAAGUCAGACGUGAAAUCCCCCGGCUCAACCUGGGAACUGCGUCUGAUACUAGGAGGCUAGAGUUUGGGAGAGGGAUGUAGAAUUCCAGGUGUAGCGGUGAAAUGCGUAGAUAUCUGGGGGAACAUCAGUGGCGAAGGCGGCUUCCUGGACCAACACUGACGCUGAGGCGCGAAAGCGUGGGGAGCAAACAGGAUUAGAUACCCGGGUAGU
rnacentral:rRNA from 1 species